GGCUUAGAGUUUGAUCAUGGCUCAGGAUGAACGCUAGCUACAGGCUUAACACAUGCAAGUCGAGGGGCAGCAUGAACUUAGCUUGCUAAGUUUGAUGGCGACCGGCGCACGGGUGAGUAACACGUAUCCAACCUGCCGAUGACUCGGGGAUAGCCUUUCGAAAGAAAGAUUAAUACCCGAUGGCAUAGUUCUUCCGCAUGGUGGAACUAUUAAAGAAUUUCGGUCAUCGAUGGGGAUGCGUUCCAUUAGGUUGUUGGCGGGGUAACGGCCCACCAAGCCUUCGAUGGAUAGGGGUUCUGAGAGGAAGGUCCCCCACAUUGGAACUGGGACACGGUCCAAACUCCUACGGGAGGCAGCAGUGAGGAAUAUUGGUCAAUGGACGAGAGUCUGAACCAGCCAAGUAGCGUGAAGGAUGACUGCCCUAUGGGUUGUAAACUUCUUUUAUACGGGAAUAAAGUGAGGCACGUGUGCCUUUUUGUAUGUACCGUAUGAAUAAGGAUCGGCUAACUCCGUGCCAGCAGCCGCGGUAAUACGGAGGAUCCGAGCGUUAUCCGGAUUUAUUGGGUUUAAAGGGAGCGUAGGCGGACGCUUAAGUCAGUUGUGAAAGUUUGCGGCUCAACCGUAAAAUUGCAGUUGAUACUGGGUGUCUUGAGUACAGUAGAGGCAGGCGGAAUUCGUGGUGUAGCGGUGAAAUGCUUAGAUAUCACGAAGAACUCCGAUUGCGAAGGCAGCUUGCUGGACUGUAACUGACGCUGAUGCUCGAAAGUGUGGGUAUCAAACAGGAUUAGAUACCCUGGUAGUCCACACAGUAAACGAUGAAUACUCGCUGUUUGCGAUAUACAGUAAGCGGCCAAGCGAAAGCGUUAAGUAUUC
rnacentral:rRNA from 1 species